GUAAUUGACACAAAUUUAUUUUCUGUACUGCAAAUUACUAUUUUUUUUUUUUUUUAUAUAUCAUUGUUGUAUUUUUUAUUAUUUUUACCGUGCUAGGAGGACCAGACUGAACAACGAAGGAACAACGUAUGCACGCGAAGCGCUAAAGAGGGGGGGAAAGUACUCACCAGACGCAGAAGGACGAGGCAAAGAAACAACAGUACCAGCAUCCAUAAACGAC